rnacentral:rRNA from 1 species
UACGAAGGGGGCGAGUGUCGUUCGGAAUUACUGGGCGUAAAGGGCGCGUAGGCGGCCUGCUAAGUCGAACGUGAAAUCCCUGGGCUCAACCCAGGAACUGCGUCCGAUACUGGUUGGCUUGAAUCCGGGAGAGGGACGUGGAAUUCCAGGUGUAGCGGUGAAAUGCGUAGAUAUCUGGAGGAACACCGGUGGCGAAGGCGACGUCCUGGACCGGCAUUGACGCUGAGGCGCGAAAGCCAGGGGAGCAAACGGG